CAUGCAGGCGGGUUAUACAAGUAGGAUGUGAAAGCCUGGGACUCAACCUCAGAACUGCAUUCUAAACUGUGUGACUAGAGUAUUGCAGGGGGAGACGGAAUUUCAGGUGUAGCGGUGGAAUGCGUAGAUAUCUGAAAGAACACCAAAGGCGAAGGCAGUCUCCUGGGCAAAUACUGACGCUCAUAUGCGAAAGCGUGGUAGCAAACA
rnacentral:rRNA from 1 species